CCUCGCGGCGCCUGCUGCGCACAGCCUAACCCCGGGGCGUCUGGCGGGUGCCGCCGCCCUUGGCUCACUCGGCGCGUGGUCGGGAACAGCGGGCAGCACCUCGGACCCGGGCUUUCCGUUUUGGUUUUGUGUGUGGCGCAAGAGAAAGGCGGCGGAAAGGUGGAUUUGCGUGAGUGUGACGUGACCUUUCCUCUCUUUUGGCCGGAGGACUCGCACCUGCUGUUCUAGGAGACGGGGCGGCCGACGCGAGCGCGCGAGUUUACAGGUGAAGAAAGUAUAUCUCAGAGGAAUUAGAGAAGACCAGCAACUAAUAGAUGACAGUGCUAAGGCCUGGCUCUCCUGAAUCCUGAGUUAUGCCCAUAUCCAGUGACUGGUCUCAUGAGGGUGGAAAAGCCCAGCUCCCUGUGCCACUUCUGGAACACCCCGAAGAUGGAAUGAGCCCUCUCCCACUGGCCAGUCCUGCUUCCUCACUUCUUCACAGGUGUUGAUCCCAGGAGCGCGGCCCUGCACAUGUUCUCCACCUCAGAGACUGACCACAGGCAAACCGACCCACAGCAAUAUAUUUAGAAAUGGCAAUUAUUCCUAAAAGACCAAAGCAAAACCACCUCCUUUGGGAAGCUUUCUCUGAGUCCCUGUGCAACAUGAAUUCUGCUUCUGUUUCCUCUCCACUUCCAUAAUGUAGCAUCUGCAUUUCUACACAAGAAACGUCAGAUUUCUCUCUGCCAUGAAAUUGUAAAAUAUAAAAGGGACGAUAUCCUCUUCAUCUUUAUAUGCACCCCCCAAAUGUUUCCUAGAUCCUUGCUUUAAACUCAAUAAAUGCAGUUUGAUGUGAAAUUUCAUUGUUACAUUUCAUUUUACCCCCUAAUAAAUUUCAUUAAAUCUCUCAUAGACACAAACUAAUAAGGAUGCAUUCACACACAUAAAUACAUUUAGAUCCACACUCCUAAGAGCAGAAUGGGCAAGAGCUCAAUUUUGCUGGAGUUAAAAGAAAAUACUGUAGAAAGGAGACAGAGGAAGGGAGGGGAGGUGGGAAUGAGCAGGGAGGUGAGUUGGAGUGAGUGGGCAAGUAGGUGAGAGGGGGACUCGUCAGUGAAGUGGCCAGAGGAUGAGCGUGUAAGCAGCCCUGCCCAUAUAAAGCCGAAGGCUUGCUCUGCUUCAGACAAUGUCUGUCUUUUUCACACAUUUACAUUAUGGGUUGGAAAAACAGAUUCGCCACAGUCACAAACAAACUAGCUGAAACACGUAUGUGUAUAUCUAUUUCAAGAUGUAAGACAAGAUAUAACGUGUACUUGCUAUUCUCUUUGCCAUUUUCUCGUUUGGGGGAAAGCUCUAUUAAAUCCGAGUUGAUGAAUGGUGGUCCCCUGCUAAUCGUGAAAGUCCUGACUCGUAGGGAUCAGUGCAUAUGGAUCAACUGGGCAUCUUGUGAAGACAUAGAUUGUGAUUGAGUGGGCCCAAGGGUGGGGCCCCAGGUUCUGCUUCAGGUGAUGCUGAUUCUGCUGGUCUGUGGCCCAUACUUUGAAAUGCAAGGGACUGGAUGAUUUCUGGUAAUCCUUUCUAGUUCUUUUAUAACUGUUUUGUUGGGAAAACCUUCAACUUUUUGGAAGUAUUCUCCUGUGACUCACUUAUAGUUGAAUCUAUAGUUUUCAGGUGAAAACAAAAUAAGUCAUUGUGAAGCACGGAAUUAAAAAGGUAAGUAACAAUCCUAAAAAUAAUCCAGAUUUUCUUAAGGCAAU